rnacentral:rRNA from 1 species
GAGUUUGAUCGUGGCUCAGGACGAACGCUGGCGGCGCGCCUAACACAUGCAAGUCGAGCGGAGUUUGCUGACGGAAGCUUUCGGGUGGAAGAUAGUAAACUUAGCGGCGGACGGGUGAGUAACACGUGAGCAACCUGCCUCUCAGAGGGGGAUAACGUUUGGAAACGAACGCUAAUACCGCAUAACACCAAGACGUCACAUGGCGAUUCGGUCAAAGGAGCAAUCCGCUGAGAGAUGGGCUCGCGUCCGAUUAGAUAGUUGGCGGGGUAACGGCCCACCAAGUCGACGAUCGGUAGCCGGACUGAGAGGUUGAUCGGCCACAUUGGGACUGAGACACGGCCCAGACUCCUACGGGAGGCAGCAGUGGGGAUAUUGCACAAUGGAGGAAACUCUGAUGCAGCGACGCCGCGUGAGGGAAGACGGUUUUCGGAUUGUAAACCUCUGUCUUCAGGGACGAAAUGAAUGACGGUACCUGAGGAGGAAGCUCCGGCUAACUACGUGCCAGCAGCCGCAGUAAU